rnacentral:rRNA from 1 species
CCCCAGACUCCUACGGGAGGCAGCAGUGGGGAAUAUUGGACAAUGGGGGGAACCCUGAUCCAGCGACGCCGCGUGAGUGAAGAAGUAUUUCGGUAUGUAAAGCUCUAUCAGCAGGGAAGAAGGAAAUGACGGUACCUGACUAAGAAGCCCCGGCUAACUACGUGCCAGCAGCCGCGGUAAUACGUAGGGGGCAAGCGUUAUCCGGAUUUACUGGGUGUAAAGGGAGCGUAGACGGCUGUGCAAGUCUGAAGUGAAAGCCCAGGGCUCAACCCUGGGACUGCUUUGGAAACUGUGGAGCUAGAGUGCUGGAGAGGUAAGUGGAAUUCCUAGUGUAGCGGUGAAGUGCGUAGAUAUUAGGAGGAACACCAGUGGCGAAGGCGGCUUACUGGACCAUGACUGACGUUGAGGCUCGAAAGCGUGGGGAGCGAACAGGAUUAGAUACCCCGGUAC